rnacentral:misc_RNA from 1 species
CGAGUCCUUACUGUUUGCACAUGGUCAGCAAACUCCACCUCCACCAAUUUAUGUAUCUGCCGCUCUUUCAUUUGUUCCACGUUAUCGUUUUCACCUAACGACCUGCUCUCUUCAAAACCCAGAUCUUUGAUUUUUCUGGGUCCUCUUCUUUUUCUCAGGAAUCGUUUCCCCAGGUGUGUAUUCUUUUACUUAAUGCUUGGCACAGUUAUUUUUUUUAACGUUUAUGUUGAAUUUUGUUGGUUUAUUCUUCAUCUCUGUCUUCUGGCUUGGAGAUCUUCAUAAGAGAAACUGUAAUUUGGUGUUUUAAUUUUGAAUGAAGCAAGACAAAAGUGUUUCUGGGAUUCACGCUGGAAUUCUUGAUCUGGUUUUCUUUCCUUAUCUAGUCGCUCAUAGCCUGAGGGUUAAUCAUGUUAGGAUUUUUCUUAAAUGCUUCGAUAACCGGAUCUGAGAUCUGCAUGAUCUUGGUGGUGGUCAGUCUGGUGUUAUUCAAAUGACAAUACUUUUUGAUUGUUUCCUCUGAUUGAUGAGUUUGAGACGUUUCAGGUCAGAUACUUGUUGAAUUACUUGGGUGUUUAUUUUUUUUCAUUUAGGUGAUUUGAUUGCUUUCAACUUUAUCUAAUCAUUCGAUUACUAACAAUGGCACUCCUAUACAUUUGAACUUAAGAUUCAGUUGAUUAAUAGCAAUGGUAAUGAUGAUCCUCUAGUCAGGCUAUUUCGAUUGGUUCUUUUUUAUGAAAAUAGUAUAGGAAGUCAAUACUGAGAAGAAAGGAAAUUGGGUACUUGAUUCUUGACUAGACAACUAGCUUUUAAGAUUCAUAACUUUUCUUGUCUUAUUCUCUCUCUUGCACGGCUGCACGUGUAUAUGUGAGUGCAUCAUAAAGUUGUUUUAUUUAAUCUAACUGAAGAAAUAAAAUAAAAUCCUUCAAAUCCAUCAACUGUAUAUCAAAGGCUUCCUGUAGGAACUUUGUGUGCUAAAUGCAAGAAGGCUGCCUGUAGUGUUAGACGUAGGAAUAGGUAUUUUCCCUAGAAAUGCCAAUGGGGGUUUUGCUAUUUCCAACCCCACCCCACAAAAGUAGAGCAAAGUGGUCAAAACUCAUUCAAGACAGAAUGAAUGAAAUUCAACUAGACAGUGAAAUUGCCAUGGAUAAUUUUCCCCUGAACAUGGGUGGUGGGUGUACUAUAUAUAUAUAACAUCUAGCUUUUAAAGAUCUCUUAUCAUCCAUUCCAUGUGACAAUCCG